UACUGNNNANNCUNNAGUNNNUAGNGGGGGGUAGANUUCCAGGUGNAGCGGUGAANUGCGUAGAGAUCUGGAGGAAUACCGGUGGNGAAGGCGGCCCCCUGGACGAAGANUGACGCUCAGGUGCGAAAGCGUGGGGAGCAAACAGGAUUAGAUACCCUGGUAGUNCCACGCNGUAAACGAUGNNGACUUGGAGGUUGUGCCCNUGAGGCGUGGCCUCNGGAGCUAACGCGUUAAGUCGACCGCCUGGGGAGUACGGCCGCAAGGCUAAAACUCAAAUGAAUUGACGGGGGCCCGCACAAGCGGUGGAGCAUGUGGUUUAAUUCGAUGCAACGCGAAGAACCUUACCUGGUCUUGACAUCCACGGAAGUUUUCAGAGAUGAGAAUGUGCCUUCGGGAACCGUGAGACAGGUGCUGCAUGGCUGUCGUCAGCUCGUGUUGUGAAAUGUUGGGUUAAGUCCCGCAACGAGCGCAACCCUUAUCCUUAGUAGCCAGCAUUAAGAUGGGCACUCUAGGGAGACUGCCAGGGACAACCUGGAGGAAGGUGGGGAUGACGUCAAAUCAUCAUGGCCCUUACGCCUGGGGCUACACACGUACCACAAUGGCGCGCACAAAGGGUAGCGAGACCGCGAGGUGGAGCCAAUCCCAAAAAACGCGUCCCAGUCCGGAUUGGAGUCUGCAACUCGACUCCAUGAAGUCGGAAUCGCUAGUAAUUCGAGAUCAGCAUGCUCGGGUGAAUGCGUUCCCGGGCCUUGUACACACCGCCCGUCACACCACGAAAGUCGGUUUUACCCGAAGCCGGUGAGCUAACUCGCAAGAGAAGCAGCCGUCUACGGUAGGGCCGAUGAUUGGGGUGAAGUCGUAACAAGGUAGCAAUCACUAGUGAAUUCGCGGCCGCCUGCAGGUCGACCAUAUGGGAGAGCUCCCAA
rnacentral:rRNA from 1 species